rnacentral:rRNA from 1 species
CUCUUCGGGGGUACACGAGCGGCGAACGGGUGAGUAACACGUGGGCGACCUACCCUCAGCUUCGGGAUAAGCCUGGGAAACUGGGUCUAAUACCGGAUAUGACCUUCCCUCGCAUGGGGGUUGGUGGAAAGUUUUUUCGGCCGGGGAUGGGCCCGCGGCCUAUCAGCUUGUUGGUGGGGUGAUGGCCUACCAAGGCGACGACGGGUAGCCGGCCUGAGAGGGCGACCGGCCACACUGGGACCGAGAUACGGCCCAGACUCCUACGGGAGGCAGCAGUGGGGAAUAUUGCGCAAUGGGCGAAAGCCUGACGCAGCGACGCCGCGUGGGGGAUGACGGCCUUCGGGUUGUAAACCUCUUUCGAUCGGGACGAAGCCUUUGGGUGACGGUACCGGUAGAAGAAGCACCGGCCAACUACGUGCCAGCAGCCGCGGUAAUACGUAGGGUGCGAGCGUUGUCCGGAAUUAUUGGGCGUAAAGAGCUCGUAGGCGGUGUGUCACGUCGAUCGUGAAAACCUACAGCUUAACUGUGGGCGUGCGGUCGAUACGGGCAUCACUGGAGUUCGGCAGGGGAGACUGGAAUUCCUGGUGUAGCGGUGAAAUGCGCAGAUAUCAGGAGGAACACCGGUGGCGAAGGCGGGUCUCUGGGCCGAUACUGACGCUGAGGAGCGAAAGCGUGGGGAGCGAACAGGAUUAGAUACCCUGGUAGUCCACGCCGUAAACGGUGGGCGCUAGGUGUGGGGAUCAUUCCACGGUCUCUGUGCCGCAGCUAACGCAUUAAGCGCCCCGCCUGGGGAGUACGGCCGCAAGGCUAAAACUCAAAGGAAUUGAC